rnacentral:piRNA from 2 species
UACGAACUUCAAAGAGGAACCAGGAGUAC